AGUGCAUGAGUGGUGUCCGGUUUGAUACGGGUGGUCGGCUCCCUGCUUGAGCAGGCACGGCCUCGCGUGCAUUCCUUCUCAGUUGUGCGGCAAGGCAUGUAUCGUCUUUAUCGCAUAUGCGGGUUUCCUGUGUUGUGUACCUCAUCGAUGGCAUCGAACUGAUCUAAAUUCUCCUUUUUUCGUCUGGGGUUGCACCUGCAUCGCUGGAUGAACUGUGUAGCAUCGUCUUUGAUCCUUACGGUUGACGAGAAAUCGUUGGUUGUUUGGCUCGUUGGCUGUGGCUUGGUGUCUCGGAUAUGGAAGCCAAAGUAGGCAUGGGUUCGCAAGGUCCCUUUAUUGCCCUCGUUGAGCGAUCUCGCUUCUCUUACACGACAGCCUUUCGCGUAUGGCACGUCCCAGCGAGUUUGGCUAAGUCGAAGAGGAAUG
rnacentral:misc_RNA from 1 species